rnacentral:rRNA from 1 species
GUUAAGUCAGAUGUGAAAGCCCGGGGCUCAACCUCGGAAUUGCAUUUGAAACUGGCAGACUAGAGUACUGUAGAGGGGGGUAGAAUUUCAGGUGUAGCGGUGAAAUGCGUAGAGAUCUGAAGGAAUACCGGUGGCGAAGGCGGCCCCCUGGACAGAUACUGACACUCAGAUGCGAAAGCGUGGGGAGCAAACAGGAUUAGAUACCCUGGUAGUCCACGCCGUAAACGAUGUCUACUUGGAGGUUGUGGCCUUGAGCCGUGGCUUUCGGAGCUAACGCGUUAAGUAGACCGCCUGGGGAGUACGGUCGCAAGAUUAAAACUCAAAUGAAUUGACGGGGGCCCGCACAAGCGGUGGAGCAUGUGGUUUAAUUCGAUGCAACGCGAAGAACCUUACCUACUCUUGACAUCCAGAGAACUUUCCAGAGAUGGAUUGGUGCCUUCGGGAACUCU